AUGGCAGUUGAGAAAAUAUUUAUUUUGGAGUGUUGAUUUUAUUAUAUUCUGUAAUUUUUUAUAUGAUUGAUAUAUGUAAUUUUUAUUUCACUUUAUAAUUAUGCACAGUUCUUUGUUUUAUAACCAAAACGCAGAAAAAUGCCCAGUGUGUGGACAGGUUUCUUUCACUACUCUGCCAAACUGUGAGGGUUUGAAAUGAAUUGCUACCCCUGACUGCCAGACUGGGUUCAGAAUUUUCCAACCAAAACACUGUCAAGUGAAGGCCCAGUGCUGGUCCACACAUACCAUCUUCAUCCGACCUACAGAAGGAAUGGUGGAAAUGAGUUCAUCCGAAUCUGGCUGCCAUGACACCACCUCAAUGGUUGUGGUGGCUCCAGAGCGGGAACACUGGGUGCAGGGUAAGGACACAGCCUAGACGAGAUGCCAGUCUAUCGCAGAGCAUGCCGAAAAGGCCACGAAACCCUAAAAUGAAAACACUCUGGGCUGUCUGAAGAGCUGAGUCACUGUGUGUCUUCAGACGAAGACUGAAGACGUUCCUCUUCACUAAACACUUAAACAAGCACUAAAUCUACACUGCUUGUUUAAAUAAAAAACACUUGUGCUGUUUUCUUUGCUGCUAUGUAAAAGAGUUUUAGCCUUAUGGUAUUCUUGAAUACUGACCUAUUUGUACUAGUGUGAGGACAUCGUUUUCAACAGGGACUACAAAACACUUCUGGAAGUCUCUCUGGAUAAGGGUGUUGUAGAUGUUGCUGCUUACAUCUGGGUGACUUUUGACCCACAAAAACCUCGUCAUAGGCUUGACUGGCGCUUAUGUGCCUAAACCCAAAUAUAUUGAUAUGUAUAAUUUUCUUCUUUUUCUGAUUGAAGUGGCCACAUGAAGUCUCUGAGCUCAGAACAGUAUUUCUGACUGUAUAUGAAUAUAGUAUGAAGCUUUCACACACAUGUUCUUACACAGUGGCACCAUCAUCUGUCCACAAAAGGAAUUACAGAUGGUAGGAAAGUAGGUAACCAGCCACUUUCCCAGCCUUGCCAUGCAAUACUUAUUUUAAUCUGUUUUCCUGGUGCAUCGUAUCCGAAUUAACUCAUCAUUACUAACCUCUUCAUGAAUGUUAGAGCAGGUCACAUUAAAAAUGUACAAUGUGUUGGGACUACAGAAAUCGGAAACACCUUUAUUUGUCACAUACAUUAUAGUGAAAUUAUUUUCUUUGCCUAGCCCAGCUUGUUCAGAAGUUGGGGUUAGAGCACAGGGUCAGCCAUGAUGUGGUGCCCAGCAGUGGCAGCUUGGCAGAGCCGGGGCUUGAACUCCUACCUUCUGCUCAGUAACCCAGAGCCUUAGCCACUGAGCCACAACUGCCCUGAGACCCCAGCAGCCAGCUGCACCAGCUGAACAUAAAUCUGAUUGUAAGACACUUAAGGUACAUCAUAACUAGUCAUGAGUAAGUGAUCGUAAUCAAAGUUAUGUGAUUUGGCAUCACCAGCCAAUCUGAAACAUGAUCUGACAUAAAGUAAAGCAAAUUCUUCAUCUCUUGUAACUUAACCUGCGUUUGAAAACACUGAAAGAUAUAACAAAUAUAGCUUUACAUUAAUAGUGAAGUAUUUCAAAUAAUUUGUGGCCUUGCCAGAAAAAUCAAUUUGAUCUUUAACACUUUGUGCUAACCAAGGAAAACUUCCCAUCCCUGAUACAGCACAGUAGCUCUAUGAUCCAAUACAGAAUAAAACCCUACCAUAAAGCAUUAAACCAGCAUUAAAAUGAGAAUGGUUAUGAGUAAAAUCAGGUUAAAGUGCAUCAGCAUUCUAGUAUAAUUUAUGUAUUUAACUAUAUGCUCUUUGAGUGAGCAGUAAGUGUGUACUGUUCUGGAUAUUAAGCGCUGAUACUGAAAUGAAUCAGAAAACUAUUUUUCAUGUAGAAAUGUUGCUAUUUUAAGGACCAUUUAGCUUUCCAACUUCUUUGUUCUACCUUGAAAGGAGAGGAUCUGCUUAUUGUUCUAGCACAUGGUACACACUCACCAGUGCAAAAAUAAAUCUGCUGAA